rnacentral:rRNA from 1 species
UACGGAGGGUGCGAGCGUUAAUCGGAAUUACUGGGCGUAAAGCGCACGUAGGCGGCUUUGCAAGUCGAUUGUGAAAUCCCCGGGCUUAACCUGGGAACUGCAGUUGAGACUGCUUUGCUUGAGUAUGGGAGAGGGAGGUGGAAUUUCCGGUGUAGCGGUGAAAUGCGUAGAUAUCGGAAGGAACAUCAGUGGCGAAGGCGACCUCCUGGACCAAUACUGACACUCAAGUGCGAAAGCGUGGGGAGCAAACAGG